GCAGGCUGAGGGGCUGGAGAGAUGGCUCAGAGGUUAAGAGCACUGGCUGCUCUUGCAGAGGUCCUGAGUUCAAUUCCCAGCAACCACAUGGUGGCUCACAGCCAUCUAUAAUGAGAUCUGGUGCUCUCUUCUGGCAUGCAGGCAACACGCAGAACACUGUAUUCAUAAUAAAUAAAUAAAUUUAAAAAAGAAAAGAAAAGAAAGCAGGCUGAGCAAGCCACGAGGAGCCAGCCAGUAAGCAGCGCCCUCCAUGGCCUCCUGCCUCCAGGGUCCUGCCCUGCUUGAGCUCUUCUCCUGACUUCCUUCAGCAAUGGACAGUGAUGUGGAAGUGUCAGCCACAUAAACUUGGCGUUUGCUCAUGGUGUUUCAUCAUAGAAAUAUUAACCCUAACUAAGACAGAUGGGCUGUCACGGGCGGAGGGCGGCGCUUUAACAUGGGGAUGUGGGUGGUGGAAGUCAGGGAGGCACACAGAGGCACACAAGAGUAGUGGGGCCAACUGACCCAGGAUCUUCAGGAACACGACCUCCUGGCCCUCUGAAGGAGCCUUUUAUGCCCCAGAAGGACUAUCAACACUCAGGAAUGGCAAGAGUGCGUGUGUAAGAGUGCGCACGUAGACUGAAUGCAGACAUUCGAGUCGAUGACAGACAGAAGAUGAGGCAGAUCCCCCAAGUGAUGUCACAUCCAAGACAAAAGAUGGGCAAGAGGACCAUGGGCUCAUUCCUGACUGGGGUGCUGGCUGGACCCGAAAACCAGGGAUGCCUGGACUUCAGGGACUCAUGGAGUUUGGGUUACAAGGAGGAGGACCCUGCCUGGCACAAUAGCAUGGGUGGCUGCCCACCCCCUCAGAACACCAGCCUCUGCAAACUUCAUCUUUAUCUGCAUCCAUUAAACUGUGUCUUUGGCAGUGGAGCAGCUCCGUCUGGUGACAGGACCUGUCGGGUAAACGGGCCAGGAAGGUUGCUGUCUGGAGUCCCACAGCAAGCUGGAGGUAUGCUGGACAAAAUGCUGUCCUAUUGGGUCCUGAACUGGUUCCCCCCCAGGCUGUCUCUGGGAAGUCCCUCUGCAGGACGAUGGCUGUAGGCCCUGCACAGGACAGACACCGAACACGAGUCCCAAACCGUGGUUCACCCGGCACGCUCGUGCACAUCCACUGAGCUCGUAAAUAAUCUCACAGGUAAAGGGUUUAAUUUUCUCUCAUUCGUCCUGUGUUCUUGCUGCCUCGUAAAUCACAGCCAUUUAUGACUCUCUCUUCGGCACUUUUGCGAUGGCCGAUAAUGGUUGAGUAAGUGGCAGAGAGGAUGAAUUCUGCAGCAGAUUUUAAACAAACGCGCACGUUGGAGCCAUAAAUAACCUUAAGCAGUGCUGGG
rnacentral:lncRNA from 1 species